GACGAACGCUGGCGGCGUGCCUAAUACAUGCAAGUCGACCUUAGUGGCGAACGGGUGAGUAACACGUGGGUAACCUGCCCAUCAGAAGGGGAUAACACUUGGAAACAGGUGCUAAUACCGUAUACUGAUGGAUGGACCCCCGGUGCAUUAGCUAGUUGGUGAGGUAACGGCUCACCAAGGCCCCGAUGCAUAGCCGAGCAGAUGGGUGGAUCGGCCACAUUGGGACUUAGACACGGCCCAAACGCCUACGGGAGGCAGCAGUAGGGAAUCGUCGGCAAUGGACGAAAGUCUGACCGAGCAACGCCGCGUGAGUGAAGAGGGUUUUCGGAUCGUAAAACUCUGUUGUUAGAGAGGCGGUAUCUAACCAGAAAGCCACGGCUAACUACGUGCCAGCAGCCGCGGUAAUUC
rnacentral:rRNA from 1 species